rnacentral:rRNA from 1 species
GUGAGGAAUAUUGGUCAAUGGGCGAGAGCCUGAACCAGCCAAGUAGCGUGCAGGAUGACGGCCCUAUGGGUUGUAAACUGCUUUUACACGGGGAUAAAGUGUGCGACGUGUCGUUCAUUGCAGGUACCGUGCGAAUAAGGACCGGCUAAUUCCGUGCCAGCAGCCGCGGUAAUACGGAAGGUCCGGGCGUUAUCCGGAUUUAUUGGGUUUAAAGGGAGCGUAGGCCGUCUGUUAAGCGUGUUGUGAAAUGUAGAUGCUCAACAUCUGAAUUGCAGCGCGAACUGACCGACUUGAGUGCGCAGGAAGUAGGCGGAAUUCGUGGUGUAGCGGUGAAAUGCUUAGAUAUCACGAAGAACUCCGAUUGCGAAGGCAGCUUACUAAGCUACAACUGACACUGAAGCACGAAAGCGUGGGGAUCAAACAGGAUUAGAUACCCGAGUAGUCC